CCAGACUCCUACGGGAGGCAGCAGUGAGGAAUAUUGGUCAAUGGUCGCGAGACUGAACCAGCCAAGUAGCGUGCAGGAUGACGGCCCUAUGGGUUGUAAACUGCUUUUAUGCGGGGAUAAAAUGCGUCACGUGUGAUGUUUUGUAGGUACCGCAUGAAUAAGGACCGGCUAAUUCCGUGCCAGCAGCCGCGGUAAUACGGAAGGUCCGAGCGUUAUCCGGAUUUAUUGGGUUUAAAGGGUGCGUAGGCGGGCAUUUAAGCCGGCGGUCAAAUGUCGGGGCUCAACCCCGGCCUGCCGUCGGAACUGGGUGCCUUGAGUGGGCGAGAAGUAUGCGGAAUGCGUGGUGUAGCGGUGAAAUGCAUAGAUAUCACGCAGAACCCCGAUUGCGAAGGCAGCAUACCGGCGCCCUACUGACGCUGAGGCACGAAAGUGCGGGUAUCGAACAGGAUUAGAUACCCUGGUA
rnacentral:rRNA from 1 species